ensembl:snRNA U6 U6 spliceosomal RNA
GUGCUCGCUUCGGCAGCACUUAUACUAAAAUUGGAAUGAUACAGAGAAGAUUAGCAUGGCCCCUGCACAAGGAAGACACGCAAAUUUGUGAAGUGUUCCAUAUUUUA